GAUGAACGCUGGCGGCGUGCCUAAUACAUGCAAGUCGAGCGAACGGACGAGAAGCUGGCUUCUCGGAUGUUAGCGGCGGACGGGUUAGUAACACGUGUAUAACCUACCUAGAAGACUGGGAUAACUUCGGGAAACCGUAGCUAAUACCGUAUAAUAUUUUGAACCGCAUGGUUCAAAAGUGAAAUACGGUCUUGCUGUCACUUAUAGAUGGAUCCGCGCUGCAUUAGCUAGUUGGUAAGGUAACGGCUUACCAAGGCAACGAUGCAUAGCCGACCUGAGAGGGUGAUCGGCCACACUGGAACUGAGACACGGUCCAGACUCCUACGGGAGGCAGCAGUAGGGAAUCUUCCGCAAUGGGCGAAAGCCUGACGGAGCAACGCCGCGUGAGUGAUGAAGGUCUUCGGAUCGUAAAACUCUGUUAUUAGGGAAGAACAUAUGUGUAAGUAACUGUGCACAUCUUGACGGUACCUACUCAGAAAGCCACGGCUAACUACGUG
rnacentral:rRNA from 1 species